CCACAAAGCCCUGGAUCUAAGUACAGCAGUUUUUUAAAUUCGUAGACGUUAAAUAUAUUGAAUGUGUGCCAAUGAUGUCUACAGAAUGGAGAGGUAAUUUAAAUAAUGAUGGUCCAGGAAAUGCCACAUUUCCCGAUCCAAAUACCAUUCCCUGUUAUAAUGAUAAGUCAGAUGUUCCUUGAAGCUAACAAUUCAGAUACCACACCCACUAAAAUGGUGGAUGAGUGUCCAAAGUAGCCCAACACCUAUCCUGAAUACAGCUAAAAUACUAUAAUAAUGGGUCUGAAGGUCCCAAG